UUGCCUGUAGCUCAGAGGAAAGAGCACCCGCCUUCUAAGCGGUUGGUCGCUGGUUCGAAUCCAGCCAGGGUAU
rnacentral:tRNA from 1 species